AUUGAACGCUGGCGGCAUGCCUUACACAUGCAAGUCGAACGGCAGCACGGGAGCAAUCCUGGUGGCGAGUGGCGAACGGGUGAGUACUAUAUCGGAACGUGCCCAGUCGUGGGGGAUAACGUAGCGAAAGCUACGCUAAUACCGCAUACGAUCUAUGGAUGAAAGCGGGGGAUUGCAAGACCACGCGCGAUUGGAGCGGCCGAUAUCAGAUUAGGUAGUUGGUGGGGUAAAGGCUCACCAAGCCGACGAUCUGUAGCUGGUCUGAGAGGACGACCAGCCACACUGGGACUGAGACACGGCCCAGACUCCUACGGGAGGCAGCAGUGGGGAAUUUUGGACAAUGGGCGCAAGCCUGAUCCAGCAAUGCCGCGUGCAGGAUGAAGGCCUUCGGGUUGUAAACUGCUUUUGUACGGAACGAAACGGCGAGCUCUAAUACAGUUUGCUAAUGACGGUACCGUAAGAAUAAGCACCGGCUAACUACGUGCCAGCAGCCGCGGUAA
rnacentral:rRNA from 1 species